GUAGUAACGUUGUCCUUGAGAGCGGCCAGUAAGCGGGCGAAUGUGGCUGACACGUGUCCAGGCACGCCUUAUAUAAAACAGCGCGCACGGCCCGUUCGACACCAUCGCAGGCCGCAGAUCAAAGCUUGAGCACCGUCUCUUGAGCAACAGAAGCAGCUAUGAUUUCCGUCAGCAGCAAGUCUAUCCUUGUCGCCCUUGUGGUCUUGGCCGCCCUGUGCAGCCUUGCAGCGGCGCAAUUCGGCUACGGCGGUUACGGCCGCGGCUUUGGUGGUGGCUACGGCCGCGGAUACGGCGGCUAUGGCGGCUACGGUCGUGGAUACGGCGGCUACGGCGGCUACGGUAGGGGCUACGGCGGUUACGGCCGUGGCUUCUACGGCUAAAGUAAACCUCCAGAACGACAACGGCCCACCACAGUACGAAGAAUCACGCCUGCCUUGAAGAUUACAGCAAAUGUCGAUUUAGUCGGCAAUCAUACGUUCUUCAUAUAAUAAAUUAAUUCGCAAUCAUGA
rnacentral:lncRNA from 1 species